UCUGUAGUGCUUGCCAAAUAUAUGAAUGU
rnacentral:sRNA from 1 species